GAUGUCUGAAAGUAUCAAGGUUAUUGUCUCUCUCUUUCUUGUGGUGUUAUUGGCUCUUGCAGCAACCCAGACAGAGUCAAGAUACAUAAAUUAUCAUGCCCUUCAUGGAGAUCACAGUUUAAUUUGUGAUAAAGCGCACCCAAACACCUGCGAGAAGGAAGAAGCCAAUCCUUAUACUAGAGGAUGCGAGACAAUCGAUCGUUGUCGUGGUCAAUCUCUAGGCCCAAAAAUGUGAAUCGACCAAGUAGAGUACACCACCCUUGGUUAAUUUUACAAAUGAUAUCUCCAUAUUAAUAUCAGAUGAUUAAUUUCAUUCAUUAUUUAUUUAUAAUCUGUAUUGGUUUGUAACUGAUUGUUACCCUAUCAUUUAUGAUAUAAAACAAAUAUAUUUAUGUUAUCUUUUUAUUUUUGAAUAUAUGUUUAAUUUAUUCAAAAGAAAACAAACUUUUUUACCCAAGUGCCACUAAGUUUUGUAAACAAUUAUCCACAAGCUUAAACCAGCUGCGUUCUUGAACUCUCUCGUUUGAUAAAAGGAGAGACACCGAUUGCGAACAAGUUUCUCCAAAGAUUUGGCAAGAGAUGUCACUGUCGUAAGAGCUGCUCCUUGUCUUCUAUCGUUACGUUCUUUCCAUAGUACAUGAACUGAAGCUUGUAAUACAUACCGUGUGAGAAAACGUUGGAGAAAACUGUGUCUUUUAUCUAAGGAACAUAAUCCUCCUGUUUUCUGAUAUUCUCCCAUGUUCUUUUAGUACUGAAAACUGGUUUGUAUUUUUCCUCCUUGUAUUUCCAGUGAGAUUGAUCCUCCACAACUGAAAUUUAUCCCUUUAAGCAUCUAUAAGUGUUUCCACCUCAUUAAAACGAUCAACUCGAUGCCUUCGUCUUCUUCGAUUAGCAACAGCCUUUGCGACAGUGAAUUUUAAAGGAAUUCCUAUGUAAAGCUAUUCCCGCGCCAUUGGAAUUUAAAGGAUUUGGAUAUAGUUUAAUUGUUGAUUUUAAAUGAUAUCUCAAUUAUUUGGGCGAUUGUAACUAUUUAUUGUUGUUUUGAAUAUUUAUAUAUAUAUAUAUAUAUUAAAAUAUUAUUUAUUUAUUUUAAAAUUAGUUAAAUAAAAACUUAUACCCCCAGUUAAAUAAAAACUAGCUCUACCACUGAUUGAACCUUGCAAGCUAGAUAUGUGUUGGAUCUUUUUUCGGAUAUAGCUUCUAUCCGAACAUCAGUCAUGUCAUCUUCCUCAUCGCUAGGGGUAUAUUUAGAAAGAGAAAAAUGAAAUAUAGGGUUUGGACCCCCAUUUUUAAAGGCUCACUUUUAAAAGGUUAUGUAGUUAAUUUUUUAAAAAACAUUUUACCAUUUCAUGUAAAGGAAAGAAGUGCAAACCAAGAAUGAAAAAAUGAUAAUAAUAAUAAAACAUAACUAAAGUAGGAGCUACAAUUAACAUAAAAAAGAAAAAAUAUUAUAUUUACAUAGACUUUUUAACUUUGUCUUUUCCUCUUUCUCCAUGACUCUUAAGCUUUUUCUCGUCUGUAAUAUUUGGGUUAGGCAUGGGCAUUCGAGGUUCCAAUCGGGUUUCGGUUUUGUCCAAUCAGAUCUCGGGUUUUCGGGUUUAUCAAAAUCAGUCUCAUUCGGGUUAUACAAAAAUUCGGUUCGGGACCAGUUCGGGUUCGGAUCGGGGUUAGUAAAUCUUCAAAGAACCGGUACAACCCGAUGUACUUUCGGGUUUGAGUCCCAAUCGGUUCUUUGGUUUAAAAGUACAUAAUUUGUAUUUACUUUGUAACCAAAACAUAAGUAAAAUCAGUUUUUCGGUUUUAAAAUACCUGAUUUAUAUCUAUUUUGUAACCAAAACAUAAGUUAAAUCGAUUCAAAAAUAAGAAAAGAACAUCAAACGCGAUCAUUCAAAAUUAAACGAAAGGUAAUGAUAGAAAGAAAACCAAAUAAAAUAAAGCAUAAAACAAAAACUAAGUUCUCAUGAAAUGAAAAAUAUUAUUCAAUGAAAACAAAACCAAAAUCUAAGAACUUCAAGCUUCAACCACCAACUUCAACCAUCAACAUUUAUGUAAUAUAUAAUUACUUUAGAUGUUCAAUAAUUUCUUAGUGUGUUCUGAAUACUAAAGAUUUAAGAUUAUGUUUGAUACAAGCUAUUUUGGGAGAUUUUGAAUUUUUUGGGUUCUAUCGAGUAUCCAUAUAGGUUCGGGUUCGGUUCGGAUAACACUCAUAACCCAAAAUACCACAAAACAAGAUCCAAUCGGUAUUUACGUCGUGUCGUGUCGGAUCGGUUCAGAUUCAUUUUUAUCGAAUCGGGUUCGAUUUAUUUGCCCAGCUCUAAUUUGGGUAGGCCCCCAUUUUUUCUUGCUUAUGGCCUCAUUUAUUGCCGAGAUCCCCCUACUCACCGCCUUCCGGAACGCCUUUAAAAGUUGUUUUGCGACCUUUAAUCUUGAACAAGGAAAGCAAAUUAUAUCUGUCAUUGCUAAAGAUCCCUUAAUUUUAAGAAAACAUCAACCAGCUGAUCUAUAUACUAAAAGUAUCUGUUUACUAAAAAUUACAUGUUUACUAAUUAAUCACCAUCCCAAAAAUAACUAUUUGAAGUACAUCCACUAUCUUCUAUAUAAGUACCAAUAACCUCUUCUUCAAAACCAAACAGAGCCGAUACCAAAUACAAUUAAAUAUAUAAACACAAAAUAAUUGAGCUCCUAGUCGGGGUUUCUCUUAUAAACUAUUUAUUUAUUUAAUUUGGUUGGAAAAUAAAAAUAAAUAGUAUGGGGAUGUCUGAAAGUAUCAAGGUUAUUGUCUCUCUCUUUCUUGUGGUGUUAUUGGCUCUUGCAGCAACCCAGACAGAGUCAAGAUACAUAAAUUAUCAUGCCCUUCAUGGAGAUCACAGUUUGAUUUGUGAUAAAGCGCACCCAAACACCUGCAAGAAGGAAGAAGCCAAUCCUUAUACCAGAGGAUGCGAGACAAUCGAUCGUUGUCGUGGUCAAUCUCUAGGCCCAAAAAUGUGAAUCGACCAAGUAGCGUACCACCCUUGGUUAAUUUUACAAAUGAUAUCUCCAUAUUAAUAUCAGAUGAUUAAUUUCAUUCAUUAUUUAUUUAUAAUCUGUAUUGGUUUGUAACUGAUUGUUACCCUAUCAUUUAUGAUAUAAAACAAAUAUAUUUAUGUUAUCUUUUUAUUUUUGAAUAUAUGUUUAAUUUAUUCAAAAGAAAACAAACUUUUUUACCCAAGUGCCACUAAGUUUUGUAAACAAUUAUCCACAAGCUUAAACCAGCUACGUUCUUGAACUCUCUCGUUUGAUAAAAGGAGAGACACCGAUUGCGAACAAGUUUCUCCAAAGAUUUGGCAAGAGAUGUCACUGUCGUAAGAGCUGCUCCUUGUCUUCUAUCGUUACGUUCUUUCCAUAGUACAUGAACUGAAGCUUGUAAUACAUACCGUGUGAGAAAACGUUGGAGAAAACUGUGUCUUUUAUCUAAGGAACAUAAUCCUCCUGUUUUCUGAUAUUCUCCCAUGUUCUUUUAGUACUGAAAACUGGUUUGUAUUUUUCCUCCUUGUAUUUCCAGUGAGAUUGAUCCUCCACAACUGAAAUUUAUCCCUUUAAGCAUCUAUAAGUGUUUCCACCUCAUUAAAACGAUCAACUCGAUGCCUUCGUCUUCUUCGAUUAGCAACAGCCUUUGCGACAGUGAAUUUUAAAGGAAUUCCUAUGUAAAGCUAUUCCCGCGCCAUUGGAAUUUAAAGGAUUUGGAUAUAGUUUAAUUGUUGAUUUUAAAUGAUAUCUCAAUUAUUUGGGCGAUUGUAACUAUUUAUUGUUGUUUUGAAUAUUUAUAUAUAUAUAUAUUAAAAUAUUAUUUAUUUAUUUUAAAAUUAGUUAAAUAAAAACUUAUACCCCCAGUUAAAUAAAAACUAGCUCUACCACUGAUUGAACCUUGCAAGCUAGAUAUGUGUUGGAUCUUUUUUCGGAUAUAGCUUCUAUCCGAACAUCAGUCAUGUCAUCUUCCUAAUCGCUAGGGGUAUAUUUAGAAAGAGAAAAAUGAAAUAUAGGGCUUGGACCCCCAUUUUUAAAGGCUCACUUUUAAAAGGUUAUGUAGUUAAUUUUUUAAAAAACAUUUUACCAUUUCAUGUAAAGGAAAGAAGUGCAAACCAAGAAUGAAAAAAUGAUAAUAAUAAUAAAACAUAACUAAAGUAGGAGCUACAAUUAACAUAAAAAAGAAAAAAAUAUUAUUUACAUAGACUUUUUAACUUUGUCUUUUCCUCUUUCUCCAUGACUCUUAAGCUUUUUCUCGUCUGUAAUAUUUGGGUUAGGCAUGGACAUUCGAGGUCCCAAUCGGGUUUCGGUUUUGUCCAAUCAGAUCUCGGGUUUUCGGGUUUAUCAAAAUCAGUCUCAUUCGGGUUAUACAAAAAUUCGGUUCGGGACCAGUUCGGGUUCGGGUUCGGGUCGGGGUUAGUAAAUCUUCAAAGAACCGGUACAACCCGAUGUACUUUCGGGUUUGAGUCCCAAUCGGUUCUUUGGUUUAAAAGUACAUAAUUUGUAUUUACUUUGUAACCAAAACAUAAGUAAAAUCAUUUCUUCGGUUUUAAAAUACCUGAUUUAUAUCUAUUUUGUAACCAAAACAUAAGUUAAAUCGAUUCAAAAAUAAGAAAAGAACAUCAAACGCGAUCAUUCAAAAUUAAACGAAAGGUAAUGAUAGAAAGAAAACCAAAUAAAAUAAAGCAUAAAACAAAAACUAAGUUCUCAUGAAAUGAAAAAUAUUAUUCAAUGAAAACAAAACCAAAAUCUAAGAACUUCAAGCUUCAACCACCAACUUCAACCAUCAACAUUAAUGUAAUAUAUAAUUACUUUAGAUGUUCAAUAAUUUCUUAGUGUGUUCUGAAUACUAAAGAUUUAAGAUCAUGUUUGAUACAAGCUAUUUUGGGAGAUUUUGAAUUUUUUGGGUUCUAUCGAGUAUCCAUAUAGGUUCGGGUUCGGUUCGGAUAACACUCAUAACCCAAAAUACCACAAAACAAGAUCCAAUCGGUAUUUACGUCGUGUCGGAUCGGUUCGGAUUCAUUUUUAUCGAAUCGGGUUCGAUUUAUUUGCCCAGCUCUAAUUUGGGUAGGCCCCCAUUUUUUCUUGCUUAUGGCCUCAUUUAUUGCCGAGAUCCCCCUACUCACCGCCUUCCGGAACGCCUUUAAAAGUUGUUUUGCGACCUUUAAUCUUGAACAAGGAAAGCAAAUUAUAUCUGUCAUUGCUAAAGAUCCCUUAAUUUUAAGAAAACAUCAACCAGCUGAUCUAUAUACUAAAAGUAUCUGUUUACUAAAAAUUACAUGUUUACUAAUUAAUCACCAUCCCAAAAAUAACUAUUUGAAGUACAUCCAUUAUCUUCUAUAUAAGUACCAAUAACCUCUUCUUCAAAACCAAACAGAGCCGAUACCAAAUACAAUUAAAUAUAUAAACACAAAAUAAUUGAGCUCCUAGUCGGGGUUUCUCUUAUAAACUAUUUAUUUAUUUAAUUUGUUUGGAAAAUAAAAAUAAAUAGUAUGGGGAUGUCUGAAAGUAUCAAGGUUAUUGUCUCUCUCUUUCUUGUGGUGUUAUUGGCUCUUGCAGCAACCCAGACAGAGUCAAGAUACAUAAAUUAUCAUGCCCUUCAUGGAGAUCACAGUUUGAUUUGUGAUAAAGCGCACCCAAACACCUGCAAGAAGGAAGAAGCCAAUCCUUAUACCAGAGGAUGCGAGACAAUCGAUUGUUGUCGUGGUCAAUCUCUAGGCCCAAAAAUGUGAAUCGACCAAGUAGCGUACCACCCUUGGUUAAUUUUACAAAUGAUAUCUCCAUAUUAAUAUCAGAUGAUUAAUUUCAUUCAUUAUUUAUUUAUAAUCUGUAUUGGUUUGUAACUGAUUGUUACCCUAUCAUUUAUGAUAUAAAACAAAUAUAUUUAUGUUAUCUUUUUA
rnacentral:lncRNA from 1 species